UACGAAGGGGGCUAGCGUUGCUCGGAAUCACUGGGCGUAAAGGGUGCGUAGGCGGGUCUUUAAGUCAGGGGUGAAAUCCUGGAGCUCAACUCCAGAACUGCCUUUGAUACUGAAGAUCUUGAGUUCGGGAGAGGUGAGUGGAAUUCCGAGUGUAGAGGUGAAAUUCGUAGAUAUUCGGAAGAACACCAGUGGCGAAGGCGGCUCACUGGCUCGAUACUGACGCUGAGGUGCGAAAGCGUGGGGAGCAAACAGG
rnacentral:rRNA from 1 species